AUGAACGCUGGCGGCGUGCCUUAGGCAUGCAAGUCGAACGGUUCGGCGCAAGCCGAACAGUGGCGGACGGGUGAGUAGAAGCAAGGAACGUACCCUUUACUGUGGCAUAGCUCGUCGAAAGACGGGGUAAUUCCACAUAGUCCCGCAAGGGUAAAGCGCGUAACGGCGCGGUAGAGGAGCGGCCUUGCACCUAUCAGCUUGUUGGUGGGGUAACGGCCUACCAAGGCUAUGACGGGUAGGGGGUGUGAGAGCACGACCCCCCACAAUGGCACUGAGAUACGGGCCAUACGACUACGGUCGGCAGCAACCGGGAAUCGUUGGCAAUGGACGAAAGUCUGACCACGCGACGCCGCGUGAGGGAUGAAGCCUUUCGGGGUGUAAACCUCUUUUGUCCCGCCGUCGAGGCGGGAAGAAUAAGCGCCUACAAACUACGU
rnacentral:rRNA from 1 species